UCACCCCUCAAGCCCUCGGCUUGGUGUUGGACGGUUUGGUGGAGGGCCUUCGGGCGCCACCCCUCCCAAAGACAAUGACGGCGGCCUCGUUGGACCCCCGGUACACUGAGUUCUUCACGGGACACGUAUCGGACACACGGGUUUACGGGACACGGUCUGCCUCCCCUCAGGGAGAAUCUUUCUCAA
rnacentral:misc_RNA from 2 species